GUUCCCUGUGAUGGUAAAUUUACCAUGCUAAUACUGAUGUCCUUUGACGAGUACAAUAAUGUGCUGAGGGAACC